UACGAAGGGUGCUAGCGUUGUUCGGAAUCACUGGGCGUAAAGCGCACGUAGGCGGAUUUCUAAGUCAGGUGUGAAAUCCUGGAGCUCAACUCCAGAACUGCCUUUGAUACUGGGAAUCUCGAGUCCGGGAGAGGUGAGUGGAACUGCGAGUGUAGAGGUGAAAUGCGUAGAUAUUCGCAAGAACACCAGUGGCGAAGGCGGCUCACUGGCCCGGUACUGACGCUGAGGUGCGAAAGCGUGGGGAGCAAACAGG
rnacentral:rRNA from 1 species